rnacentral:rRNA from 1 species
GUAAGGAAUAUUGCGCAAUGGGGGAAACCCUGACGCAGCAACGCCGCGUGGAGGAUGACACUUUUCGGAGCGUAAACUCCUUUUAUCAGGAAAGAAUAAUGACGGUACCUGAUGAAUAAGCACCGGCUAACUCCGUGCCAGCAGCCGCGGUAAUACGGGGGGUGCAAGCGUUACUCGGAAUCACUGGGCGUAAAGGACGCGUAGGCGGAUUAUCAAGUCUUUUGUGAAAUCUAGUGGCUUAACCACUAAACUGCUUAGGAAACUGAUAGUCUAGAGUAGGGGAGAGGUAGAUGGAAUUCUUGGUGUAGGGGUAAAAUCCGUAGAGAUCAAGAAGAAUACCCAUUGCGAAAGCGAUCUGCUGGAACCUAACUGACGCUGAGGCGUGAAAGCGUGGGUAGCAAACAGGAUUAGAUACCCCAGUAGUCC